rnacentral:lncRNA from 1 species
UCUGCAUUUAUUAAACCAUGCAGAACCCUGUCUCUCUGUAACAAUUUUUUAGUAUUCUGAUUAAAUUCAGAAACCAAAAUUCAAAGAAAAAAAUCAAAAAUACAGAAAUACUAAUUACUUGUUCUCGGGGAGAGAGAGAGAGAGAGAGAGAGAGAGAGAGCAAAUCAAGAAUUGGUUUGUGUUUUUUCACAUAAUUUUUGUACAGUGGGGAACAGAGAACAAGGGUUUCAAAAUUUAAAGCUCAGUUAUGAAAGAAGAAUCAAAAGAGUCCAUUCCUCAGAAACUUGAAUAAACGAUAACCAAAAACUUAAAACCCGCUUGUUCGAUUUUAGCAGAUCAAAACGACCAAGAAUUCCAUAAUUCACCACCAUCAAAGUGGAAAGAACAAGAAACGGGAACUUAAAUUCAGGUUAAGCUGAGAAAGGGGUCUACCUUCAUUUCUAGGGCUGCCCUGAUUAACCCUCGGUUUGCGGCAUCUGGAAUCCUUGGCAACACCAAAGCAAAAUUUCAAUUUCUGUAAUUGCAAUUGGUAGAUUUUAUUUUUUCAACAAUGACCCACGUCAAUUUUUAUUAUCUUUCGAAGGAUUGUUGAUCUAAUAUUGAUUAGAUUCCUUGUUUAUGGGUUUUUAUCUUC